GCCCCCGUAGCUCAGUGGAUAGAGCACGAGAUUACGGAUCUCGGUGUCGCGCGUUCGAUUCGCGCCGGGGGCUC
rnacentral:tRNA from 1 species